AUUGAACGCUGGCGGCAGGCCUAACACAUGCAAGUCGAACGAGUGGCGGACGGGUGAGUAAUGUCUGGGAAACUGCCUGAUGGCGGGGGAUAACUACUGGAAACGGUAGCUAAUACCGCAUACCAUCAGAUGUGCCCAGAUGGGAUUAGCUUGUUGGUGGGGUAAAGGCGCACCAAGGCGACGAUCCGUAGCUGGUCUGCAAAGAUGACAAGCCACACUGGGACGUGGACACGGCCCAGCCUCCUACGGGAGGCAGCAGUGGGGAAUAUUGCACAAUGUGCGAAAUCCUGAUGCAGCCAUGCCGCGUGUAUGAAGAAGGCCUUCGGGUUGUAAAGUACUUUCAGCGGGGAGGCGUUACCCGCAGAAGAAGCACCGGCUAACUCCGUGCCAGCAGCCGCGGUAAUAC
rnacentral:rRNA from 1 species